rnacentral:rRNA from 1 species
GACGAACGCUGGCGGCGCGCUUAACACAUGCAAGUCGAGCGAGGCACCCGGGCUUGCCCGGGUGUCGAGCGGCGAACGGGUGAGUAACACGUGAGGAACCUGCCCCGAAGACCGGGAUAACACCGGGAAACCGGUGCUAAUACCGGAUGUCCUCAUCAGAUCGCAUGGUCUGGUGAGGAAAUGGAUUCCGCUUCGGGAUGGUCUCGCGGCCUAUCAGCUUGUUGGUGGGGUAACGGCCACCAAGGCAACGACGGGUAGCUGGUCUGAGAGGAUGUCCAGCCACACUGGGACUGAGACACGGCCCAGACUCCUACGGGAGGCAGCAGUGGGGAAUCUUGCGCAAUGGGCGAAAGCCUGACGCAGCGACGCCGCGUGCGGGAU